rnacentral:snRNA from 1 species
AUGCUCACUUCAGCAGCACAUAUACUAAAAUUGGAACAAUAAAAGGAAGAUUAACAUGGCCCGUGUGCAAGGAUGAAAUGAAGAAAAGAAAAAAAAAGAAUUUUA